rnacentral:lncRNA from 1 species
CUUAUAUGUUUGUUUGUAACGUUCACACACCAUUGCCAAUAGAAUGGUAAUGUUAUUUUAAUUUUUUCCGUGAUGCUCGAGGAUAAAUUAAAUAAAAAUUAAAAAAUAGGAUAACUUAAGUUGUCGAUCCCCCUAAAAGAAAUAAAACAAUAACCAAAUAAACAGCUGCGCCAUGAGUGCAUGAUACGCCCGUCGUCUUGUGUGUAAUAAUCAUAAAUAGUUUCUGAGAUACAGCGUGACAUGUGAAAACAACC